rnacentral:rRNA from 1 species
AACUUUCAACAAUGGAUCUCUUGGCUCUCACAUCGAUGAAGAAUGCAGUGAAAUGUGAUAGGUAAUGUGAAUUGCAGAACUCAGUGAAUCAUCGAAUCUUUGAACGCACAUUGCGCCCUGGGGUAUUCCUUAGGGCAUGCCUGU